CGCGUCAUCAAGUUGAUGAUGAUUUUGAUUGCUGAAGGUCUUAAAUUAAGACAAAGGUGGGAAUAGAACUGCAGAUACAUAUUAUACUAAAAUCCACCAUGACAGAUGAAUAUGAUGCCAAGGAUUAGAUUUGAAAAAAGUUCUUCUCCUCUCUACAUUUGAUGAAAGCCAUUUUCAGCAAAGGUGGGAAUAGAAGUGCAGACGCAUAUACCAAAAUCCACCAUGACAGACGAAUAUGCUGCCAACUACAGUUUUAGAUUUAAAACUCCUUUCUACAUCUGAUGGAAACCAUUUUCAGUAAGUUGCACUAUACUAUUUCCUAAUAAUAUAAGACUUUAUUAAUUGACAUAUACCUAGAA